UACGAAGGGUGCAAGCGUUACUCGGAAUUACUGGGCGUAAAGGGUGCGUAGGUGGUUUGUUAAGUCCGUUGUGAAAUCCCCGAGCUCAACUUGGGAAUUGCAGUGGAUACUGGCAAGCUGGAGUAUGGUAGAGGAAGGUGGAAUUCCCGGUGUAGCAGUGAAAUGCGUAGAGAUCGGGAGAACACCAGUGGCGAAGGCGGCCUUCUGGACCAAUACUGACGCUCAUGACACGAAAGCGUGGGGAGCAAACAGG
rnacentral:rRNA from 1 species